rnacentral:lncRNA from 1 species
GAGAAGGACCACAUCUACAAUAACGCAAAUGCAAUUUGCAGAGCACUGAAAGGUUUGGCUAAUAGAAACAUCACAAAUCAUCCUAAUUCCCUUUUAAAUUGCACAUCUAUGGUACUUUUAAGACCGCAUAGGCAGGAAAGUAAGAUGGGGCGAAUUUGGACGUGAGUUCUUCUAUCACAGUCGGUAGCAACCUUGGCCAGAAGAACCAUCCCAUCAUCUGUAAUGUCUUUUGUUCGUCAUCAGACUGCGUGCAGAGCAUCUCUCUCAUCCCCUGCUCUAAACCAAAGAUCCAUCGUGCCCAUCUGUUCUGUUGCUCUGAAAUCUGGAGCGUCUCCUGCACGGACUUCCAGGGUUUAUCAUAAAAAGCAACUUCAGUUUCCAUCCUAGGGCACAACCUCAAGGGGAAAAAAACGUGGAAAGGAAACUUACAAUUAAGACAAAGCAGGUCAGAUCUGCUCCAGAGCCAUAACCUUCUGCUUGAGUGCCUCGCUGUGUCUCACCCAGGUAAUCAUCCAGGAAAAGGACAGAUGAGCAAAUGUAUUUGUGGAAUGGAGUAUUGUUUACCAUCUGGUAUGCAUUGUUUGAAUCCUGUUAAAUUUCUUACAAAGAAC